CUCCUCUUCCUUUUCUCUUGCCCUCCUCUCUUCUGAGUUUUGACUCCCUCUCUUUUUACAAACACACUCUGGAAGAUGAAGCGUGGGUCGAGUGUGUUGCAGCCUCCCUCUGAUGCAGCCAAACGACACACACUCCCUGCAAACACACACUCAGCGACACACACCGCCGAUGAUGCUCGCUCACUGAGUGUGUCCGACGCGCACGCCACAGGUUCAAGUCCCUUCCCAGCAGCCACUUCUCUGUUCAGCCCUGAUGUCAGCAUCAAGAUGGCGUCUGACCUCCUCAUCAGGCUGUCAGAGGCCACACAGAAGGUCCAGGUGCAUCCUGGGAGCCGAGCGGAGGCGGAGCCUCAGCGGCGUGAGGUGCACGGGGGGCAGCAGGACGAGCCUGGCCUCGCUCUGUCGCCGGACGGCCCUGGGGCGAGUCCCGAGCCGCCGUCCCUCACGCACACACCUGAGGGCAACGCCGCCAUGGACACACUGGCUUCAGACCUGCUGAGGAAACUGGCAGAGCGUCAGCAGGUGAGCUGCCAUGGGGUGAGGGUCAAAGAAGAAGACGAGCCAAUGGAAGUCGACUCACUGGUGGCUGUUGACCUUAUACGUGAUCGGCCAAUCACAAAAGAGACGACCAAAUCUACUCCACAGAUGGCGAACCGCCAUCGCUUCACCCUUAAAACAGAAGACCAGGGUCUCAGUCGCAACAAGAUGGUCGAGCAGGUGCACCCUGGAGCCAAAAUGGCAGAGAAGCAUCUCCUUGGCCUUAAAAUAGAAGAAAAUGCUUUAACAGGAGGCAGCCGGCCUGACCCUAAGUCAGGUGACACUGUCGUCUCUGGAGCCAGCAAGUUUCAGUUCAGAGUGAAAAUGGAGGAUCAUGGCAUCUCUGGGACCAAGAUGGAGGACCAUCUUCUCUCUGGAGCCAAGAUGGAGGACCAGCUUCUACUUAAAGCUAAAAUUGCAGAGCGACCUUUCUCCGGAGCGAAGAUGAACAACAGGUUCCUUCCUGCAGUCAAGAUGGAGGACAGGUUCUCCUCUGGAGUCAAAAAGGAGAAACAGCUUCUCUCUGGGACCAAGACCGAGAACCAGCUCCUGCCUGGUGCCCCGUUGGUGGACCAGGUUUUUUCCAGAGCAAACACAGAGGAACAGCUUUUCUGCGGCGCCAAGAUGGAAGACCAAUUCACCUCUGGAGCCAAGAUGGCCGACCAAUGCCUCAGAGCCGUGCUGUGGCAGGACAUGUCAGUGAACCUGGCAUCCACGCUGCUGCAUCAGCUCUCAGAGAGGGUCAGUAACUCCAACAAUCAGCUGAUGGAGAGGAUGACUCCGCCCAUCAGAAGCAGGUAA
rnacentral:lncRNA from 1 species